CGGGGUCCCACAACGUCACCUCAUAGAUGCAGUCGAUGGUUUGUUCCAGAUUCAGGCUUCUUUCCGGGAAGAAACCCUGACAGAAAUUCAGAAGCAUGGGAUGCAUUCCGUUAGGACGUGAAUACAUGAAAUGCUCGUCUCAGGACCUUCUAGAAGAAUGAGCUGGUACCCACUUUUCGAGUCCCGCUGGAACCAGAGACCGAGCUGUAUCUGUGACACAGGACACGAGAGAACGUGCUCAUGUGAACACAAGUGAAGGACACCGUGGGAACUUCCCACACAGGUAAUUUUGGAUUUUUUCUCUUCACAACUUAAGUUCCAGUGCAUGUUUUCUAUCACAAAUAUGCCACAUCUUAUAUUUCAGAUAUUUGUGCCCAGGGCACAC
rnacentral:lncRNA from 1 species